UGUGACCAGCCCCUCCCACACUAUGCCAAUAUGGCGGCUCCCAGAUCCUAAUUCGGGAAACGUGCAUCCAGACUGUUCAGCUCUCUAUGCCUGAAGAAGUGAGAAGAACUUAGAUGAUGCCGGGAGCGAUCUAGACUUGGGGCGGGUUCACCUGAGAGCUUUAAGCUCUGCAGGGGCUAAUGUCUCUGGAAACGGAGGGUGUCAGUUUACUGAAGCCACUGGGUUUACUUAGUCCCUACUGUGUAGGCCACUCCUGGCCCCGGAUGCAGCUCUCUGACCCUCCCUCUAUGCCUUCCCCGGUCCCCGAACUAGGUUUGGUGGGCAGAAGCGACCGUGGAUGACCCAUGCGAGAAUUGUUCUGUGGCUGAGCCUCACUCUCCGCUCCACCCGCAGCCUUUGUAGAGCUCAUUUUGUGGAGUGGCAGCCCCCAAAGCCCCCGAAUCCUGUAGCAAUGGAGAACGGUACUGGGCCCUGCAGAGAAGAGCGCCCACCCACGGCCCAGGAGACUACAGUCACCGAGGGGGCCGCCAAGAUCGUUUUCCCCAGCUCCAACGAGGUCUUCUACAACCCGGUGCAGGAGUUCAACCGCGACCUGACGUGUGCUGUGAUCACCGAGUUUGCUCGCAUUCAGCUUGGGACCAAAGGAAUCCAGAUCAAGGUGCCAGGUGAGAAGGACCUGCAAAAGGUGGUUGUGGACUUGUCCGAGCAAGAGGAGGAAAAGGUUGACUCGAAAGAUGGUGAAAACCUGGCCCCAGGAGAUCAACCUCAAAUAGCUGUCGUUGGGGAGAUCUGUGAGGAAGGCCUGCGUGUCCUGGAGGGCCUGGCAGCUUCAGGCCUGCGUUCCAUUCGAUUUGCCCUGGAGGUGCCUGGGCUCCGAUCUGUGGUUGCCAAUGAUGCCUCCGCCCGGGCUGUGGACCUCAUGCGCCAUAAUGUGCAGCUCAAUGGUGUGGCCCAUCUGGUACAACCCAACCAGGCAGAUGCCCGGAUGCUGAUGUACCAGCACCAGAAGGUAUCAGAGCGGUUCGAUGUCAUUGACCUGGACCCCUAUGGCAGCCCCGCCCCCUUCCUGGAUGCAGCUGUGCAGGCUGUGAGCGAAGGAGGGUUGCUGUGUGUCACCUGCACGGACAUGGCAGUGCUGGCCGGGAACAGCGGGGAGACAUGCUACAGCAAGUACGGGGCUAUGGCCCUCAAGAGCCGGGCCUGCCAUGAGAUGGCCCUGAGGAUCGUCCUGCACAGCCUGGACCUCCGCGCCAACUGCUACCAGCGCUUUGUGGUGCCGCUGCUCAGCAUCAGUGCAGACUUCUACGUGCGUGUGUUUGUGCGCGUCUUCACGGGCCAGGCCAAAGUCAAGGCCUCAGCCAGCAAGCAGGCGCUGGUCUUCCAGUGCGUGGGCUGUGGAGCCUUGCACCUUCAGCGCCUUGGCAAAGCAGCAGAAGCCUCUGGUGGCCGGGUCAAGUUCUCUGCAGCCUGUGGUCCCCCCGUGAGCCCCGAGUGUGAGCACUGUGGGCAGCGACACCAGGUUGGUGGUCCCCUGUGGGCAGAGCCCAUCCACAACCUGGAUUUUGUGGGCCGUGUCCUGGAGGCUGUGAGCACCAAUCCUGGGCGCUUCCACACCUCAGAGCGGAUUCGGGGAGUCCUGAGUGUCAUCACUGAGGAGCUCCCGGAUGUGCCCCUGUACUACACGCUGGACCAGCUGAGCAGCACCAUCCACUGCAACACGCCCAGCCUCCUCCAGCUGCGGUCGGCCCUCCUCCAUGCUGGCUUCCGGGUCUCACUCUCCCACGCCUGUAAGAGUGCCGUGAAGACGGACGCCCCCUCCACGGCUCUCUGGGACAUAAUGCGCUGCUGGGAGAAAACGUGUCCUGUGAAACGGGAGCGACUGUCCGAGACCAGCCCAGCAUUCCGCAUCCUCAGUGUGGAGCCCAGACCUUGAAGAGCCCCCCACCAUCAUCUUCUCUGUGCUCUCUGCUCCUUGUUGACUCCGAGUCUCGCCGGGCGGUCAUCUCCAGCUUCUGCCUGUGCUCGCUCUCUGCACGGCUUGCCUCUCACCUCCUGCCUCCCCAGGGAAGCCUGCCUUGACCCCACCACCUGGGCUGGCAUCGCACCCCUCCUGGCUCCCCGUGCCUUUUACCAGAACGCCCACCACAUGUCCUGACGCAACGUCGUUUACCUGUUUCUGAUCUGACCCGUUGCUUGCUCAUCCGUCUCCUGCGCUAGACAGUCAGCCCUGCCUCACGCAGGCCUAUUCCCAGCAGAGAGAACCAUGCAGACUUGAUAGUAAAAGCAAAAUGUUUAUUAAAUGAAUGACAAACCCGGGCAGGGGCAGCCACGGCAAGCUGCACCAAGCUGGACAGGCUCCACAGUGGUCCCUGGACACCCAUGCGGUGGCUGCUCCAGUCCUUAUCCCCAUUGUCCAGGCUGCAGGCCAACUUCACCAUUCGGGAGGAUGCUAACCCCAGCUCGCGCCAGCGGGGACUCAAGCGCUUUCAGGCCAACCCGGAGGCCAACUGGGGUCCCCGGCCCCGAGCUCGGCCAGGGGCCAAGGCAGCCAGCGAAGUGUUGGAGAG